UCGUCUUUUUCUGAUUAAUGUAGUUAUGAACUCCUUUUCUUUUCCAGUAUAAUUCAAUCUUCUGAAUUCGAAGCACAUCGCUUCAAGUCUUGCACUCACCGUUGGAGCUUCUCGCAGGAGGCCCUCUCGGGCGCGCGUUUCUAGGGUUAGGGUUUUGUAUCGACCACCAAAGCCACUCAGGAGAAUAGUCCAUGGGUUUGGAUUUACUCUAUGUUGCUACUUGCUAGUAUUUAUCAUCAAGCUGCUAAUGCUGGAGACUACCUUUGGUUGUAAUGUAUGAUAAAAAAUACUUGCAGUUUUUUCUUGGUAUUGUUAUUGGGUGUCCUUGAUUUAAAGACCCGGUAGCAAUAUUAGUUUCGUUUAGAAUUUCCAAGAGGUCUUGUUUUGAUUGUUGGUUUACUUAGAGGAUGUAAAUACACAACUUGGCUGUGACCCCUAUGAGCUUCAUAUUAUCUACCUUCUGUGAAAGGUGUGUUUGGUUCCUGGUAGUGGAUAUGGAAGUUGGGAUUGGCCACUUCUAAGUAACUCUAGACGAUUGGUUGACUGUUGUUGAGGAUCGAAUUUGUGGAGGGAACUUUAACUUCUAAACCCCUCCAUUUUGUUGUUUUAACUUCCGAAGAAACGACAACUUUGAUGGAUACACAGUUGUAUUACUUCCUACAACUAAGCGUUAAAAGUGAUUGGCUUCGAGGCCUUUUCCUCAACCAACCAAACAUCAUGAAUUGCAGAUUCCACCUUAACUAUGGCUUACUUCAAUCCCAUCACUUUUGAGGGUUAUUGAAAACCAAACAUGCCUAAAGUCCUUCCGAGAGUUACAUGUCCUGGCUGGUGACCCAUAUGGAGAGAAUUGCAUAGGUGGAUUUCUGCUAGAGAAUCAUUGCCUUCAGUGUUUAUCACCUCUUUUGUCAUGUGCGCUGGGCGAAAUGAUCUGCCAAUCUUUUCCUGUCCGAAUAGCUUUCUCUUCAUGAAUUUGUGUGAAACUCUUGGUUUAUGAAGUCAUUAUUUUUUCUUAUUUUG